UGGAGCAGAGUCUGAUCCUGCUUCACCUCCAUUGGAUCUGCAUGAUGUUGAAAACCACAUCCUGAGAACCAGUCAAACUGACAGUUUUCCAGAGGAAGUGAGACUGUUUAAAGCACACAAGCCUGUUUCACCCAGUAGCCGAUUACGCACACUCUCUCCUGAAUGGGAUGCAGAAACUGGUCUUGUCAGAGUUGGGGGUCGUCUUCGCCAUCUGGAGAACCCUGACCUAUCAGACAUCCAUCCAGUGGUCCUAGACCCUCAGCAUCCUGUAACCCAACUCCUAAUUAAGGAUGUAGAUGUUCGUUUGCUUCAUCCUGGGCCUGACCGUGUGUUUGCUGAGCUAAGACGCCAAUACUGGAUACUUCGAGGAAGACAAGCAGUAAGGCAUCAUCAGAGAACCUGUAUCGGCUGCAGGAGAUGGAGAGGGCGACCAACUGUGCCUAUAAUGGCAGAUCUGCCACCAGCUCGCCUACGGCUGUUUAAACCACCUUUUUACUCGACCGGAGUCGACUGUUUUGGGCCGUACCUGGUAAAGGUGGGACGGCAACAGGAAAAGCGCUGGGGCGUGAUCUUUAAAUGCCUCACUACUCGAUCUGUCCACUUGGAUCUGCUGAACAGUCUGGAUGCAGAUACCUUCCUCCUCGCUUUAAGGCGUUUCAUAGCACAACGUGGUACUCCCUGUGAGAUCUUAUCCGAUCAGGGUACCAAUUUCAAAGGUGCAGAGACAGAACUGAAAGGCAUUUUCAUCAAUGGAGCCUCAGCUGCGGAAAAGCCUAGAGGAGCGGCAAAUCAGCUUCAGAUUUAACCCCCCUGUGGUGGGAGCCCAAUAGUUUCUGAGGAUGUUCUGCUCACCGUCCUAGUUGAGAUAGAGGGGAUACUCAACUCAAAGCCUCUCGGAUAUGUCUCCUCAGACAUAGCAGACUCUGACCCAGUGACGCCAAAUAUGUUGUUGAUGGGGCGGCGGGACGCCUCACUUCCCCAGGUGUGUUAUGCCUUGGAUU
rnacentral:lncRNA from 1 species